rnacentral:rRNA from 1 species
AGCGAACGCUGGCGGCAGGCCUAACACAUGCAAGUCGAACGGACCCUUCGGGGUUAGUGGCGGACGGGUGAGUAACACGUGGGAACGUGCCUUUAGGUUCGGAAUAGCUCCUGGAAACGGGUGGUAAUGCCGAAUGUGCCCUUCGGGGGAAAGAUUUAUCGCCUUUAGAGCGGCCCGCGUCUGAUUAGCUAGUUGGUGAGGUAAUGGCUCACCAAGGCGACGAUCAGUAGCUGGUCUGAGAGGGUGACCAGCCACAUUGGGACUGAGACAUGGCCCAAACUCCUACGGGAGGCAGCAGUGGGGAAUCUUGCGCAAUGGGCGAAAGCCUGACGCAGCCAUGCCGCGUGGAUGAUGAAGGUCUUAGGAUUGUAAAAUCCUUUCACCGGUGAAGAUAAUGACUGUAGCCGGAGAAGAAGCCCCGGCUAACUUCGUGCCAGCAGCCGCCGUAAAAC